CGAAGCACACAGUUGAUUUUCGCAAGCUCCCGUUUUCGAUGCUCAUGGAGGGAUUUCGAUUGCUUUGCUGCAGCCAGAGACAUGUGUGACUCGUUCGAGUGAGUAUGGAAGUGGUGUUAGAAAUUCGAUCGAGUGUGACUGCUGCUGCUGCUGGAGAAGAGCAGGAUUAGGUUUCUUCUUGUCGAUGAGUGGAAAAAUGCCGGUUGGUGAUGGCGCUCACGGGAUGUGCGCGAAUUUUGGCGAGGUUUGGGCGCGCGUCGGCCGAAUUUGGCGAGUACCGAGCUUCGUCGUCGGCGUCCUCGGAUGUGUGGUCAGAUUGUGCAAAGUGCCGAAUUCGUUCGUUCGGGGGCUCUGUGUGUAGUGUGGGUCUACCAGCGUCAGUGGCUGGUUCAUCACCGGCAGUCGCGCUCAGUCCGUGGAACAGUGUGGUGUUGACUCCUGCUCUCUUCCCAGAGACAUUUUCCUGACAGGCAUCAAGAGGUGAAGAGUGAUGAAGAAGAGUACUGAGGAACAAAAUUAAACCAAAUUAGGAGGCCAAGUCCAAAAGUGCUGGUGUGUAUGUUCAUAAACAGUUGCUCCGGACAAGUGUAGACAGGCCCGAUCUAAAUAGCCUUCAGUUCUUGUGUUGUGUUUAGUGUGCGUUUGCGUGCUUGUUAUGUUCAGUUCGGUUGGUUUGCGUUUUUUGGGUUGAGUUUUUUUUUUUUUUUUUGGGAGAAACAGACACGACCGGCUUGAUAUAUUAGAACGAGUCAACGUGUGGAGUGGCGGCAACUCAAGUGUGGCAGAAGGAAGGCACAAAUAAUAUAUGUAAUCUAAUACUGGCGAACCCGGAACUGCGGCCGCUUUUAGCGAAUUGACUUUUGCAAACGCUUGGAACGUCUGAAGGCCGAAUCGAAUCCGUGCGAGACUCAACCGUUUCACGCUGGCUGAUUAAAUUUAUUGAUCGAGUAAUCUCCGCUUCUAAUCCCAUUACCCACGAGGACGGGUGGGUAGAGCUAAUCCAGUACGCAGUGGCAUUGCAGGUUCCAUAUUUAGACUGAACGUUCGAGUAUAGCCAUUUCCUGUCGUUCCUGAUAAGCAAUGCAUACAGAGAAAUGAAGUGGUACAAAGUACGCGGAUUUUCCCCCCAGCAACAGCUGAUUUCACCGCAAACUUCAGAAGCAAUUAGACCGCCCUAAUGAGUCUUGAGGGAAAGCCACUAAGCAGCACGGUGAAUCAAAUUUUCAACUAGACCUUCAACCCAGAGAACACCACCAUUUUUUUUUUGCUGUUAAAAAACGAAGAGAACACACAGUAGAUGAGCUAAUAUUUGCAAAUGAUUAUCAACACCAACACACAACCGACGAUGAAAGCAAUCAUCUGAAUUUCGCAAACCUGCCACUGCCGGCCCGCCUGCCUGCUUGCCGAUUUAGAUUAGUUCGACGAAUGAGCAGAAGCCUGGAGGAGGUGGCCAAGAAGUAUGAGGAAUCCCACAACUACCAGUGGAGCGAAUCCGAAGCGAUAAGUGUGCGACUCUUAGCUCAUCUGUUUGGCAAAAGUCCUCUUGGUCUUCUUACCGUUGCUGCUUGCCUUGGCGAAUGUGAUCACACCAGCCGUAUUAUAACUUCCUAUCAAUUGCCUUACCCGGGAAUGGAACUCGAAAAAAUAGCGACCAACACACAUCCAGAGAAAAGUUACCAUCUUCAGAGCAAAAGUUUUCCGUUGUUUCAUUAUGUUUGCCAUAAGUUCGGUUAUGUCCUGCUGCCACGGAAAAAAGUGGAAAGUUUUGUGUUGUUUUUCAGUUUCCCAACAGCUGCCACAUAUUCUUGCGGCAGGAAAAGAAACUUCAAACUAGAAAACAUUGUUGAUUUUCAUUAUUCCGUUUCACACUCGUGACUUUUGAGUUUGAGGACUGCAGCGGCGAAAAAACCUCCGCACGAAAUAAUGGAGAAAAAUCGGAAAAGUUCUUUCGUUGAAAGUAGUAGUUUAGUUUAGUUUUUUUUUAUUCUGUUCCGUCCUAUUCUGUUCUGUUUAUUGUUUUUCGAGAAGAAAAUGAGCAAAGUUUCGCCCCCGCCGGUGGAAACGAAAGACAUAUCCUCAAAACCCAAGUGACGGUUAAGAAGAACACACAAUGAUUGAUCGUUAGUUUCGUAGCGGGGGUGGCAGGAUAUCGAUGAAAUCGAUUCGAGCGCACGCAUUUCGGUUCGGUUCGGUGGAUUUAGCCGUAAUUGGACAGCUGGUGGCUGGCGCUGACGACGAUGAUGACGAUGAUGAUGAUGUCAAACUCUGCGUGGUUCAGUGACUGCGGAACAAGCGACUACAAACCGAGAGUAGAAGGCGCCGAAUGGCGCGCGAUGAGAUUGUGAACCGGUUGUGAAAUGAGAAUCUACUGCCUAGAUCAAGCAAAGAUUAAUAGAUCGUGAUAAUGGACAGCUCAUGGCUUUUUGGUGGAUAAAUGGUAAGUUACAGUACGCUUCUUAGAAUGAAAUAAUCUACAACCGUAUGCAUCAUACGUAUAAAAAAGGUCAUUAAUCUUGUCACAUGCUGCAGUUAGCUCAUUUUAAGUCAUGGUGCACUAGCGCCAUUGUACAGAGUACAUCUUUUUUGGGCAGGGAGUCAACAAUUUA